GCCAUUGGGCAAUCGAGCGCUUUUAGCGUUAGGAAAGUCCAUGCUAGCACAAACUGAGAUGUUUGUAGUGUUUGCGCUAAACGAAACAAUAAGUUUAGGCACCCAUUCGGGUGACGGCGAAGAAAAGGAUGUUAAAGGCCUUAGUAUUCAUAAAGUGCCACAGUGACGAAUCAUAGAGAAUAUCUAUGAGUGAAACGGGUAAACCCCACAAGCUAGAAACCCAAAUUUUGGUAGGGGCACAAUUGUUCAAGAAAUGAAUUGAAACAAUUGACGGGAAACCGUAGAUAAAUGAUUGCCAGCUUUUAUGGCGACAGAACAUGGCUUAUAGAU
rnacentral:RNase_P_RNA from 1 species